CCUACGGGUGGCAGCAGUGGGGGAUAUUGCACAAUGGGGGAAACCCUGAUGCAGCGACGCCGCGUGUGGGAAGACGGUUCUCUGGAUUGUAAACUACUGUCGCCAGGGACGAAGAUGACGGUACUUGGGGAGAAAGCUCCGGCAAACAACGUGCCAGAAGCCGCGGUAUUACGUAGGGAGCGAGGGUUGCCCGGAAUUACUGGGUGUAAAGGGAGCGUAGGGGGGGCUGUAGGCUGGAUGGAAAAACUACCGGCUAAACUGGUAGUCGCACUCGAAACUGCAGCUCUUGAGUGAAGUAGAGGCAGGCGGAAUGCCUAGUGUAGCGGUGAAAUGCGUAGAUAUUAGGAGGAACACCGGUGGCGAAGGCGGCCUACUGGACUUUUACUGACGCUGAGGCUCGAAAGUGUGGGGAGCAAACAGGAUUAGAUACCCGAGUAGUC
rnacentral:rRNA from 1 species